rnacentral:sRNA from 1 species
CUAACACGAAGAUCAAGGCGAGGACUGGGGUGGCUGCCAGUGGUCCCUUGGCCAUUUGGGGCGGAGGGACAGGUGGCUUGGUAGCCUCUCAGGCCCAGCUGCACCUGCUGCCUGAGCACGUGCCUCUCAGCUGCCCAGGAAGGGGGCAGGGCUCCCCAGCAGCUGCAGCUCCACCACGCAGCUGCCCUGGGCGAAAGCAUCAAGCCUAGCUCCUCCCAGCAGUCUCACUCCAGCCCACGCCAUGGGCGACCAUGCGUAGUGCUGAGUUCCGCGGUGCUGAGGGGCCCACGUUCUCUGUGCACAGUGCUGGGAGGCCCAUGGCUUCUGCCUGGCAAGUCGGUCAGAUGCUGGUUUGAUUACGGGAUGUCUAAGGGCACGGGUGAGGAUUCAGGGUGCUUUGGUGGCUUCACCCACUUAGCACCUUGUUAGACAGGGAGCCCCUUAUGGACACUGUUGAGGUAGAGGAUUUCUGUCUUGGGGAUAAGCCCUUUGUUUCAUCGAAAUCUACUCCCUGGGUCUGUGACUUAGUUUGGGGCAUUUAAUGCUUUGAUAAAGUUAAUAUGCUCUUACUCUCUGGCAAAACUGUUCAUUACUCUUACCUCAAAUGGACACUUGAUUUGCUGAGGCUUUUUAAAACCAGGCCGGCCACGGUGGCUCACGCCUGUAAUCGCAGCACUUUGGGAGGCUGAGGCGGGUGGAUCACUCAAGGUCAGGAGUUGAAGACCAGCCUGGCCAAUAUGGUGAAACCCCAUCUCUACUAAAAAUACAAAAAUUAGCUGGGCGUAGUGGCACACGUCUGUAAUCCUAGCUCCUCGGGAGGCUGAGGCAUGAGAAUCGCUGGAACCUGGGAGGUGGAGGCUGCAGUGAGCAGAGAUCACACCACUGCACUCCAGCCUGGGUGAGAGAGCAAGACUCUGUCUCAAAACCAAAUUCCUGGUCAUAUCCUUUGAGAGGCACAUCUGGGAGUCCUGCUCUGUGUGGUGUCUGAGCUCCUGGAACCUGACAGCGAGUCUGCCAGCAUCCUCUCGACUCUGAGUGCCUGUGAGAGGCUGAUCCCAGCCUCAGUAACUGCUUCCUGCCCUCGUCUUUCUUCCUCAUCUUUCCUCCUCUCUGGGUUCCUCAUAAAAACCUCCGGGAGGAACCAACUCUUCUGGUCCUGGGUCACCUCCGAAUGGCCACAGAGUCACGAGCUCCCUGGGCUGCACAGAUGGAUCCUGGACAGUCCAGGGCUCUGGCUUGCCUGGUAGAUGCCCCCUGCCAUCGCGCCGAGGGCCAGCCCUCCAGCAGCAGCAGCAAGAGCCUCAGGAGAGCAUUGCUCCUGGUCACCAGAAGCCACAUGAGUCACAAAGAUGAGGCCCAUGUGGACCUGCAGCGCCGCAUUGUCCACUGCUGCUGUCUCUGAGGGCCACUCCUCUGAGUCUCCCACGCGGUCCCUUCUAGUCAUGGUGGGGUAGUAGGAGGUUCUCAGGGCAUUUUCCUGAAGCAGCUGGUUGGAACUUUGGCCGUUCCAAUGGCAGAGCCAUAGGAUUUCUGCUGCUUUCAUGUUGCCAAGGAGCCCUUGAAGGAGAAGGUGCCCUGGGGCAGGAGUGAGUUCAGAUUUCAGUUCUGCCACCUGCCAGUGGCACUGUGACGGCUAGAAAGGGUGCCAGACAGAGAACGUGGGCACCUGUGUUCUCUUCUAGACUUUCUUUGCCUCAUCAUGACUUUGGAUGAGUCAUAGGUCAUCUGUCCUCAGUUUCCCUCCUUUUUAAAAGUGAGGUGUUGGCCAGAUGACUUGAAGGCACCUUCCCCACCAUCCUCUAGUCCGUUGUGUGAUGAAGCUCACAGGAGGUGGGGGUCAGGGUGCCCUUCAUUCCUGGGCCACCCUGUGCUACCCAGCUCCCUGGACCUGGCCCACAACCCCACCUCCUCUCAUCUGCCCUCACCCCAUGACAUUGUCCACGUUCGCACAAGCUCCAGGGGACAGGGCUUCAUCUGUCUUGUUCACGGUGAACUCCCCAACACCUAGAGCAGGGUCUGGCGCUUGGUAGGUGCUCAGGGCACAUUUUUGGAUAAGUGAGUGCUGGCCAGGACGCCCCUCCAAGAGCGGACCCAUCUCUAGCCAAGCCACCCCUCCAAGAGCGGACCCAUCUCUAGCCAGGCCACCCCUUCAAGAACGGGCCCAUCUCCAACCAGCUUGUCCUACAGAUUCGGCAGCGUCUUCCCGAGCCUCAACAUGGCGGUGAAGCGGCGGGAACAGGCCUUGCAGGACUAUAGGAGGCUGCAGGCCAAGGUGGAGAAGUAUGAGGAAAAGGAGAAGACGGGGCCAGUGCUGGCCAAGCUCCACCAGGCGCGAGAGGAGCUGCGGCCUGUGCGGGAGGACUUUGAAGCCAAAAACAGGCAGCUGCUGGAGGAGAUGCCGCGCUUCUACGGCAGCCGCCUCGACUACUUCCAGCCCAGCUUCGAGUCCCUCAUCCGAGCUCAGGUUGUGUACUACUCGGAAAUGCACAAGAUCUUUGGAGACCUGUCCCAUCAGCUUGACCAGCCAGGCCACUCCGAUGAGCAGCGGGAGCGGGAGAACGAGGCCAAACUCAGUGAGCUCCGGGCCCUCUCCAUUGUGGCCGAUGACUGAAUCCCCGUCACUCUUGGAGGACUCCUGUGACGUGGUCAGCCUCACUCAUCCUUGCCCUUCUCAGGGCUAGCUGCUCCUCUCACAGGCUGGGGACAGAGGUGGCCCUGGUUCACUUGCUGGCCCUUUGCAAUGAAUGACUCUUCCUGAGCCUGGCACCAGGAGCCCUAGGCAGGCCGCCGUCUCCCCACUCACAGCCCCAGCAGGUAAGCAGUGUAGACAAACCCUUGGGGCUUUUUUAUUUGGAGAACCGUCCAGCAUGCAUCCUGGCCCACGGCCUGAGCAAGCUGCAGCCCUUCUGAGGCCAUAGGCUUCGUUGGCUAAGUUGGGGGUCUUAGCUUUGCACACGUUGUGGGCAUCAAAUCUACCUCCAAAAAGACCCAUCCUGGGGAGCCCUCUGGCCCCUCGUUGCCUUUUCACUUCAAAACCUCUUUUUUCUGGGAGAGGCCCUGAACCCUGUGCGGGAGAGCUGGUCCUCCAGCCCUGGCAGGCCCUCAGCCAGCUUCCCAGCAAGACAAAAGCCACCCUUGUGGCUUUGGGACCCAAGUGGUUGGGGUUCCCAAGGUCACUGAGAACUGGUACCUCGGGAACCCAAACUGUCAGUGGAACUGUCCCACCACACAGAAUGUCCCCCAAGAAUUCACAGGUCUCAAAGCAAGAACAGUGGGUUUGUGUCUCACCUGAGUAUUUGGAAUUUUAUUUUUUCAAGUAAAAUUUUCAAUGAAACGUCCACAUAGUAUUGUGCUGUAACUAACUUAGGCAAGCAGAGGAAACCCGUUCCAGGGCCUGCUGCCCUCCGCGGAGCAGCAGCACCCUCCAGCAGACAGCCCAGCAUGCAGGGGUGUGUGCGCACCUCCCCGGCCCUGCCCCACCUUCUGGAGCGAACUGCACCGUGGUCCAGCAGAGACGCUGGGCGGGAGGGCACGCAGGCAAGCCUAGGAGAGGAGUAGGAAGAGCUGUGGAGGACACACUCAGUUUGUUUUUGACUUUGGUUUAUUUAAAAAACAAGCC